rnacentral:misc_RNA from 1 species
GAUGAAGAACGUAGCGAAAUGCGAUACGUAAUGUGAAUUGCAGAAUUCAGUGAAUCAUCGAAUCUUUGAACGCAUAUUGCGCUCUCUGGUAUUCCGGAGAGCAUGCUUGUUUGAGUAUCAGUAAACACCUCAACUCCCUUUUCUUUUUUGAAAUGGGAGCUGGACUUGAGUGAUCCCAACACUUUUCUCACUGGAAAGUGGCGGGUCACUUGAAAUGCAGGUGCAGCUGGACUUUUCUCUGAGCUAUAAGCAUAUCUAUUUAGUCUGCCUAAAAAACAGAUUAUUACCUUUGCUGAAGCUAACAUAAAGGAGAUGAGUUCUUGUGCUGACUGAUGCAGGAUUCACAGAGACAGCUUUGCGGCUGACUUUGUAAACUCGAUCUCAAAUCAAGUAAGACUACCCGCUGAACUUAAGCAUAUCAAUAAGCGGAGGA